rnacentral:rRNA from 1 species
AGAGUUUGAUCCUGGCUCAGAAUCAACGCUGGCGGCGUGCCUAACACAUGCAAGUCGAACGAGAAAGUCCGCAAGGAUGAGUAAAGUGGCGACCGGGUGAGUAACACGUGACUACCUACCUCUUAGUGGGGAAUAACUCCGGGAACCGGGGCUAAUACCGCAUAACAUCGCAAGAUCAAAGCCGAAAGGCGCUGGGAGAG